rnacentral:rRNA from 1 species
UACGACUACAUAUCAGGCAUAUCAAUAAGCGGAGGAAAAGAAACUAACAAGGAUUCCCCUAGUAACGGCGAGUGAAGCGGGAAGAGCUCAAAUUUGAAAUCUUAAAGGGUUUCCCUUUACGAAUUGUAGUUUAAAGAAGUGUUUUCUGUUGGAGUUUCGGUAAAAGUUCUUUGGAAUAGGACAUCAUAGAGGGUGAGAAUCCCGUAUUUGACCGUUACUUUCCAGCUGUGUGAUACACUUUCAAAGAGUCGGGAUUGUUUGGGAAUGCAGUCCAAGAUGAGGUGGUAAAUUUCAUCUAAAGCUAAAUAUUGGCGAGAGACCGAUAGCGAACAAGUACCGUGAGGGAAAGAUGAAAAGAACUUUGAAAAGAGAGUUAAACAGUACGUGAAAUUGUCAAAAGGGAAGCGUUUGACACCAGUGUUGUUUAGUUGAAAAUCAAUUCAAUAGUUUUUGAUUCUAAGUAGUAUUGACUUCAUCAGCUUGCUGCUUUCUUCUCAGAAAUUAUUGAAUGCACUUUUCAGUUAACAAGUCAACAUCAAUUUCUUUUGUUGUAAAAGGGUAAGAGGAAGGUGGCUUGCGCUUCGGCUCAAGUGUUUAUAGCCUUUUAUCUCUGCAAUCGGAGAGAUUGAGGUCUGCAGCGUAGAUCCUUCGGGGUUAGAUACAUUGGUGCUAAGCUAUAGCCUUGUAUAGACAACUUGUUGACUAUGCUCAGUCAUGUAGCUUACUCGCUGAUGCUAUUUUACCUACGCUUAGGAUGUUGAUCUACAGAGCGAGAGU